GUGGGGAAUAUUGGACAAUGGGGGGAACCCUGAUCCAGCCAUGCCGCGUGUGUGAAGAAGGCCUUUUGGUUGUAAAGCACUUUAAGCGAGGAGGAGGCUACCGAGAUUAAUACUCUUGGAUAGUGGACGUUACUCGCAGAAUAAGCACCGGCUAACUCUGUGCCAGCAGCCGCGGUAAUACAGAGGGUGCAAGCGUUAAUCGGAUUUACUGGGCGUAAAGCGCGCGUAGGUGGCCAAUUAAGUCAAAUGUGAAAUCCCCGAGCUUAACUUGGGAAUUGCAUUCGAUACUGGUUGGCUAGAGUAUGGGAGAGGAUGGUAGAAUUCCAGGUGUAGCGGUGAAAUGCGUAGAGAUCUGGAGGAAUACCGAUGGCGAAGGCAGCCAUCUGGCCUAAUACUGACACUGGGGUGCGAAAGCAUGGGGAGCAAACAGGAUUAGAAACCCCAGUAGUCC
rnacentral:rRNA from 1 species